AAUAUUUAACGCCAUUGACUUUUUAGCAAAUGUUUGACCGUUCGUCUUAUUCAAAAAAUUUAAGUAAUUAUUAAUUCUUUUCCUAUAAUUUGAUUCAUUGUUAAAUAUAUUUUCAUGUAGACAUAUAAUUUUACAUAUUUUACAAAAGUUUUUGAAUAAGACGAACGGUCAAACAUGUGCUAAAAAGUCAACGGCGUCAAAUAUU
rnacentral:pre_miRNA from 1 species